rnacentral:lncRNA from 1 species
GAAAGAAAGAAUUAGAUCCUGCUAGAAUAAAGUUUAAACGUAUUUUCUGAAGAUGAAAAAGAGCACUAAGUUAGGUCUUUCCAGCACUAACUGAUCCAGGUAAUUUUUGCAUGAAUAUCCCCUCAAAAGAAAAUAUAAAUGGAACAUAUGUAAAAUACAACCACUCAGACAUUCGGCAAAAUAGACGCAUUUGUGGAUUUACAUCGUGCAACCUACAGCUGCUACAUCUGAAGUUACUAACUUCUAACCAAGCCAACUAAACCAUCACUUACUGAAGUGUUAAUUGUAAAACCACAUGCAGAAACGUGACUUGGCCCAGGUAACCCCACAAUCCCACGUCAGAGCUCAACCUGCUCAGACCCACAGCGUAAGCUACCACAAACCUUGGCCUAAAGGCACUCUGUCCCCCUGCCUCCACACGAAAGCUGCAGCUAUUUAUUCCUGAGAGUUGCCAAUUGCACCUCAUUUUUUCCUAGAGUGAAGGGAAAGGCAAAGCGCUCCCGUUACUGAGAGGAAGCCAUGUACUGCUGAAGUAAAGCUUUCCAGAAUGAAGUGUGUUGAGGAAAGGGAGGCAGCACGGGGAGCCAAAACACAUUAGCCUGAGGCCACAUAGCAAGGAUAUCAAAGAAAAAAGGAAAGCGGAGAGGAUUCUGUCUGCUUGAAACUCUUGGCCCUUAAGUGAGAUGCUAGGAUUUGAUACAGCAAUGAUCAACGGCUUUCCAAAAAAGCAGAGCACUUGUGGACAACACCAGGUUGAAAUUUCUGUCUCUGAGGAAGAGGAGGAGGAGGAGAGCAGAUUUGUCGUAACCUCCAGAGCUCUGCAUGACCCAAGGGUGGCUGGCUCCCUGUGACCCUCUGGAUGUCAUAUACCAUCUGCGUAUGGUGCGUGAGGGCGUGAGGAUCCCACUCAUAUUCCUUCCUACUCAAACCCUCAAAUCCAAAAGCUGCCAUACCAGCCCCGUAACAAAUGUUUGCGCUAAGGAAUCUUUUCACAGUGACAGGACAGCUGUGCUGCAGCUCCCCAGAGCAGCUUUACACCAUGAAUCCGCUGCUGGGCUGGCGCGUGGUGUGUGGGAACAUGGGGACUCUGUGGGUGGCACAGGACAAGCAGGUAACAGGAGCCAAACCUGCCUCUCGCAGCACAUCCUUCAGGAAACCAGCUGGUGUCAUCAGAGACCUCGCUGCAAUGCAUCCCAAAACGGGGUAAAGCAGCAGAGUUGGGAGAUUCAUUCCAAAACUGCGCUCCUGAACCAAACCAAAAUGCUGGUGCAGAGGCACCCUCAGCAUUACUCUCCUGCAGCGUAUCCAGCUCCCUUCUGCUAGAAUGAAAUGCUGUUUGUAAAAGUAAUUCUAUCUGAAAAGUGGCAUUAUAGCUUGCUCCAAGUGAUGAGGCUUCAGCAAACCCUUUACUAAUGUUACAACAUACCUGUCUCUAUAGAUUUUCAAUUCACUUUGCACUUGUGUUUGCUGGUUACUGAUGCUGAAGUAAACCAAAAUAAACACAUCAAACACACGCA